ACCCUGAGAUGAGCUCAGCUGGUCAGAGCCUGGUGCUAAUAAUGCCAAGGUCACGGGUUUGAUCCCUGUAUGGGGCA